rnacentral:rRNA from 1 species
UACGGAGGGAGCUAGCGUUGUUCGGAAUUACUGGGCGUAAAGCGCACGUAGGCGGCUUUGUAAGUUAGAGGUGAAAGCCCGGGGCUCAACUCCGGAACUGCCUUUAAGACUGCAUCGCUUGAAUCCAGGAGAGGUGAGUGGAAUUCCGAGUGUAGAGGUGAAAUUCGUAGAUAUUCACAAGAACACCAGUGGCGAAGGCGGCUCACUGGCCCGAUACUGACGCUGAGGCACGAAAGCGUGGGGAGCAAACAGG